AUGGUGAUGCUCCCUGUGCUCGAGUUCGCUGAUCCGAAUGACCGAGAAGGAGGCAGACACUACUGGGUGAUUAACAUCAACUUAAGGGAUCAACGUUUCGAGGUGCUAGAUUCUUGGAGGAAGCUCGACAACCCUGACUUAAUGCAUUGUGCUUCAACUAUAGCGGGGGCAGUUAGGUGUUUAUGGAAGCAGCAUUACCCAAAGCACAAUAUCAGUCACUUUUAG
rnacentral:rRNA from 1 species